UUGCCCAAACUUCUGUGUAAAUAAUGAACCCUGUAUACACACUAGCUUUGUUAUAGUACAACCCCAGAGUAUCCUUCGUAACCUACGUUUAAUACGGGACUGUAUUUCGUGAGAGAUCUAGAGUUAUAAGGAUAUAAAUACUUAAAGAUUCUAUUGAGUAAUUAUUUAAGUUAAAAUGCCAUUAAUUCGCUCUAUCACCCCUAUAACAUCGCGAUUUUAGUCUGCGGGAUAAUACCAUCAGCAUUGUCACGCUGCCAGUGAAAGAGCAGUCAUCAGGGAACGUGUGUCUCUCGUUUCGUUCAACAUAUGUUAUAAAUACCACUGGCUUUCCAUGCAGUAUCUAAAGUCCCAAGAUGGGGAAACCAAAAGCAGACAACAAAGAAGAGUCCAAUGGAGAUGUAGUGGAAGGUAGUGCAACUCCAGCAACAAAAGAAACCAAGAAGGGGAAAAAGGGUCGCAAGAACAAGGAUGUUGACUGGGAAAUGAUAUGUGGCAAAGGAAUUGGAAAACAUGACCCUGGAGGAGGGAGGAGAAAAGAAGGAAGAAUCUCGUGAGCCAUCACCAGUUCCAGAAAAGAAAGAUAAGAAGAAAGAAAAG